rnacentral:tRNA from 1 species
GGGCUGGGGCUCAGUGGUAGAGCACUUGCCUAGCCUGUGUGAGGCACUGGGUUCAAUUCUCAGCACCACA